rnacentral:rRNA from 1 species
AUCCGGUAUGGGGACCGUGUCAGGUGGGCAGUUUGACUGGGGCGGUCGCCUCCUAAAGAGUAACGGAGGCGCCCAAAGGUUCCCUCAGAAUGGUUGGAAAUCAUUCGAAGAGUGCAAAGGCAGAAGGGAGCUUGACUGCGAGACCUACAAGUCGAGCAGGGACGAAAGUCGGGCUUAGUGAUCCGGUGGUACCGCAUGGAAGGGCCAUCGCUCAACGGAUAAAAGCUACCCUGGGGAUAACAGGCUUAUCUCCCCCAAGAGUCCACAUCGACGGGGAGGUUUGGCACCUCGAUGUCGGCUCAUCGCAUCCUGGGGCUGAAGUAGGUCCCAAGGGUUGGGCUGUUCGCCCAUUAAAGCGGUACGCGAGCUGGGUUCAGAACGUCGUGAGACAGUUCGGUCCCUAUCUGUCGUGGGCGUAGGAAAUUUGAGAGGAGCUGUCCUUAGUACGAGAGGACCGGGAUGGACGUACCGCUGGUGUACCAGUUGUUCCGCCAGGAGCACCGCUGGGUAGCUAUGUACGGACGGGAUAAGCGCUGAAAGCAUCUAAGCGUGAAGCCCCCCUCAAGAUGAGAUUUCCCAGUAUGUAAGACCCCUUGAAGACGACGAGGUAGAUAGGCUGGGGGUGGAAGUGCAGCAAUGCAUGGAGCUGACCAGUACUAAUCGGUCGAGGGCUUAUCCUA